UACAGAGGGGGCAAGCGUUGUUCGGAAUUAUUGGGCGUAAAGGGCGCGUAGGCGGCGCCACAAGUCACUUGUGAAAACUCUGGGCUCAACUCAGAGCCUGCAAGCGAAACUGUGGUGCUGGAGUAUGGGAGAGGGUAGUGGAAUUCCCGGUGUAGUGGUGAAAUGCGUAGAUAUCGGGAGGAACACCAGUGGCGAAGGCGACUACCUGGCCUGUUCUUGACGCUGAGGCGCGAAAGCUAGGGGAGCAAACGGG
rnacentral:rRNA from 1 species